GGAAGUCAAGAAAUACCUGGAGUAACAGGCAAGUUUGGCUUUAGAGUACAAAAUGAGGCAGGACAAAGGCUAACAUAAUUUUGCCAGGAGAAACUUGGCCAUACCAAACACCUUCUUCCAACAGCACAAGAGUCUACUCUACACAUGGAAAUCACAAGAUGGCCAAUACAGAAAUCAGACUGAAUAUAUUCUUUGCAGCUGAAGAUGGAGAAGCUCUAUACAGUCAGCAAAAACAAGACCGGGAACUGACUGUGGCUCAGAUAAUAAACUCCUUAUUGCCAAAUUCAGAUGUAAAUUGAAGAAAGUAGGAAAAAACCCCACUAGAACAUUGAGGUAUGACCUAAUCAAAUCCCUUACAAUUAUACAAAUUGUAUAGUAGAAGUGACAAAUAGAUUCAAGGGGUUAGACCUGAUAGAAUGCCUGAAAACUGUGGACGGACGUUCAUGACAUUGUACAGGAGGCAGUGAUCAAAACCAUCCCUAAGAAAAAGAAAUGCAAAAAGGCAAAAUGAUUGUGUGAGGAGGCCUUGCAAAUAGCUGAGUAAAGAGAAGCGAGAGGCAAAGGAGAAAAGGACAGAUAUACCCAUCUGAAUGCAGAGUUCCAAAGCAUAGAAAGGAGACAUAAAAAAGCUUUCCUCAGUGAACAAUGCAAAGAAAUAGAGGGAAACAAUAGAAUGGGAAAGACUAGAGAUCUCUUCAGGAAAAUUAGAGAUACCAAGGGAACAUUGCAUGCAAAGAUGGGCAAAAUAAAGGACAGAAAGAGUAUGGACCUAACAGAAGCAGGAGAUACUAAGAAGAGGUGGCAAAAGUACACAGAAGAACUAUACAGAAAAGAUCUUCAUGACCCAGAUAAUCACAACGGAGUGAUCACUCACCUAGAGCCAGACAUCCUGGAAUGUGAAGUCAAGUGGGCUUUUGGAAUCAUCACUACAAACAAAGCUAGUGGAGGUAGUCGAAUUCCAGAUGAUCUAUUUCAAAUCCGUCAUGAUGAUGCUGUGAAAGUGCUGCACUCAAUAUGCCAACAAAUUUGGAAAACACAGCAGUAGCUACAGAACUGGAAAAGGUCAGUUUUCAUUCCAAUCGCAAAUGAAGGACAAUGCCAAAGAAUGUUCAGACUACUACACAGUUGCACUCGUUUCACAUGCUAGCAAAGUAAUACUCAAACUUCUCCAAGCCAGGCUUCAACAGUAUGUGAAAUAUGAACUUCCAGAUGUUCAAGCUGGGUUUAGAAAAGGCAGAGGGAACCAGAGAUCAAAUUGCCAAUGUCUGUUGGAUCAUUGAAAAAGCAAGAGAAUUCCAGAAAAAACAUUUGCUUCAUUGACAAUGCUAAAGCCUUUGAAUGUGUGGAUCAGAACAAACUGUGGAAAAUUCUUUAAGAGAUGGGAAUACCAGACUACCUUACCUGCCUCCUGAGAAAUCUGUAUGCAGGUCACAAAGCAGCCAUUAGAAAGGGACAUGGAACAACAGACUGGUUCAAAAUUGGGAAAGGAGUGCACCAAGGCUGUAUAUUGUCACCUUUAUUUAACUUAUAUGCAGAGUACAUCAUGCGAAAUUCCAGGCUGGAUGAAGCACAAGCUGGAAGCAAGAUUACUGUGAGAAAUAUUAAUAACCUCUGAUAUGCCGAUAACACUACCCUUAUGGCAGAAAGGGAAGAGGAACUAAAGGGCCUUGUGAUGAAGGUGAAAGAGAAGAAUGAAAAAGCUGGCUUACAACAACAUUAAAAAACUAAGAUCAUGGCAGCCGGUCCUAUCACUUCAUGGCAGAUAGAUGGGGAGAAAAUGGGAAUGGUGACAGACUCUAUUUUCCUGGAUUCCAAAAUCACUGUGGACAAUGACUGCAGCUAUGAAAUUAAAAGAUGCUUGCUCCUUGGAAGAAAAGCUAUGAAAAAAAUUGAAGAGCAUAUUAAAAAGCAGAGAG
ensembl:lncRNA